rnacentral:rRNA from 1 species
GGAACGUACCCGGGAGUGGGGGAUAACUAUCCGAAAGGAUAGCUAAUACCGCAUAUUCUGUGCGCAGGAAAGCAGGGGAUCUUCGGACCUUGUGCUCCCGGAGCGGCCGAUGUCAGAUUAGCUAGUUGGUGGGGUAAAGGCCUACCAAGGCGACGAUCUGUAGCGGGUCUGAGAGGAUGAUCCGCCACACUGGAACUGAGACACGGUCCAGACUCCUACGGGAGGCAGCAGUGGGGAAUUUUGGACAAUGGGCGCAAGCCUGAUCCAGCCAUGCCGCGUGAGUGAAGAAGGCCUUCGGGUUGUAAAGCUCUUUCGCGAGGGAAGAAAACGGCAAGGUUAAUACCUUUGUCGGAUGACGGUACCUUGAUAAGAAGCACCGGCUAACUACGUGCCAGCAGCCGCGGUAAUACGUAGGGUGCGAGCGUUAAUCGGAAUUACUGGGCGUAAAGCGUGCGCAGGCGGUUUUGUAAGACAGAUGUGAAAUCCCCGGGCUUAACCUGGGAACU